AUUGAACGCUGGCGGCAUGCUUUACACAUGCGAGUCGAACGGUAACAGGCCUUCGGGUGCUGACGAGUGGCGAACGGGUGCGUAAUGCAUCGGAACGUACCCAGAGGUGGGGGAUAACGCAGCGAAAGCUGUGCUAAUACCGCAUGUGAUCUGAGGAUGAAAGCGGGGGACCGAGCAGCAAUGUUUGGCCUCGCGCCUUUGGAGCGGCCGAUGUCGGAUUAGCUAGUUGGUGGGGUAAAGGCCUACCAAGGCGACGAUCCGUAGCUGGUCUGAGAGGACGACCAGCCACACUGGGACUGAGACACGGCCCAGACUCCUACGGGAGGCAGCAGUGGGGAAUUUUGGACAAUGGGCGCAAGCCUGAUCCAGCAAUGCCGCGUGCGGGAAGAAGGCCUUCGGGUUGUAAACCGCUUUUGGCAGGAACGAAACGGUGUCCGCUAAUACCGGGCGCUAAUGACGGUACCUGCAGAAUAAGCACCGGCUAACUACGUG
rnacentral:rRNA from 1 species